rnacentral:tRNA from 1 species
UCCCUGGUGGUCCAAUGGUUAAGACUCUGUGCUCCCAAUGCAGGGGGCCUGGGUUCAAUCCUUGGUCAGGGAA